CGCUGAUGACACUGCAAAUGGAAAAAUAGGUCAGCACCAACUUGCCAGGAGUUAGCUGCUUAAAAAUCGAACCUGCCUCUUUGAAGGGGUCUGAAAGUCCCAUACUGACAUGAGCUGACCAUGCCUGACCACCAGCAUCCUGUCAGUGCAAGAGGACCAGAGACUGAAUCAGACUUCAAACAGAAAUGGAAGCUGACCAGACUAGUUCUAUGAGACAUUUACAGAACACUUACUAUUCUGGAAGGUGUUUUUACAGUCAUUUAUAUGAACUACUCCCCACAACAACCCUGUGAGGACAGAGGACAAGGAUGUGGCUUCAAGGAGGGCGAUUUACUGAAUCACAAUGGAUAUAAUUGUGGACAAGCACUUAGUAUAGUGCUCUGCACAGUAAGUGCUCAAAAAGUACCAAUGAUUUGUCGGACACCUCAACGCUAACACAUAACCAGGUCUUUUUUUCAUUACAUUAAUGAAAUUGAGAUUUUCACUUAA